rnacentral:tRNA from 1 species
GCCCCGCUAGCUCAACUUGGCAGAGCAGCGGAUUCUUAAUCCGCGGGUUCCAGGUUCAAGUCCUGGGCGGGGUA